AGAUGCAGAUGCAGAUGUGUCCAUAGUGUCGUUAUAGGUUGGAAACGACUCGACAGCGUAAGACAAGAAAAAGGAUACCUUCUUACUGGACCACUCACAACACAAUCCUGCACAUCACCUUAACCAGGCACUUCCGAAAAACCUCACCCUUAAGGAGCAUUUCAUCAAAGAUUCCCCUCCACCAUGAGACACAUCACAUGACGGGGUGACUGCAUCUCUUUGGAUUUCAAGGCUUGUCCAUUCGUCAUUUUUUGGUCGUCAGGAAUAGCAUCAGUGACAUGGAUAGAUCUAGUGUAUUGAAUUUGGAAGAGUAUGAAGGAAAGGCUGUUUGGUUAAGGUUGGACAUUCCUUUCCCUCAAGAUUUAUUCAUUGCCCUAGCCCUCAGGCAGGAAUAUUGCAAGUUUCUGGAUGCAUUCUACACAAUUCUAAAACUGU